rnacentral:rRNA from 1 species
GUGGGGAAUCUUGCACAAUGGGGGAAACCCUGAUGCAGCGACGCCGCGUGAGCGAUGAAGCCCUUCGGGGUGUAAAGCUCUUUCGACAGGAACGAUAAUGACGGUACCUGGAGAAGAAGCUGCGGCCAACUACGUGCCAGCAGCCGCGGUAAUACGUAGGCAGCGAGCGUUGUUCGGAGUUACUGGGCGUAAAGCGUGCGUAGGCGGUUGGCUAAGUUUGGUGUGAAAUCUCCCGGCUUAACUGGGAGGGUGCGCCGAAUACUGGCCGGCUUGAGUGUGGGAGAGGGAAGCGGAAUUCCUGGUGUAGCGGUGAAAUGCGUAGAUAUCAGGAGGAACACCUGCGGUGAAGACGGCUUCCUGGACCACUACUGACGCUGAGGCACGAAAGCGUGGGGAGCAAACAGGAUUAGAAACCCGGGUAGUCC